UGGAUGAAAAGAAAUCAGCAUUUCUUGGGCUU
rnacentral:piRNA from 1 species